CGCGGUUGGUCAGAGAACCGCGGCCUAUUCUCCCUGCCACCUGCUGACAUUCCCCAUCAGUCAGCCCCUGCAUUAAAUUGACAGGGAAUGGGCCGCGGUUGGUCAGAGAACCGCUGCCUAUUCCCCUGUCAAUUUAAUGCAGGGGCUGACUGAUGGGGAAUGUCAGCAGGUGGCAGGGGGAAUAGGCCGCGGUUCUCUGACCAACCGCGACCUAUUCCCCCUGCCAUCUGCUGACAUUCCCCAAAAAGCAGUUGGGAAGGCAGUUAAAGCGUUUCUGAACGUUGGAGAAUAGGCCGCGGUUGGCCAGAGAACUGCGGCCUAUUCCCUGGUCUCUGUAAUUUUUAAAAUUUUAAGGGUAUAUGCCGCGGUUCGGAGCCCAACCGCGGCAUAUAAGUUAAAAAAAAUUUCAAAAUUUCCAUUAUGUAUUAUUUUUUUUAAAUGAAUAGGCCGCGGUUAAGUGUAGAACCGCGGCCUAUUCCCCCUUUAUGCCGCGGUUAAGUGUAGAACCGCGGCAGAUUCUCCUUCUGAAGGUAAAAAAACAAAAAUCGCGAAACAGUUUCGUCUUCUUCGCGAAACUGUUUCAGACCUUGCUUCUUCUCCGGCGACCC
rnacentral:lncRNA from 1 species